rnacentral:rRNA from 1 species
UACGGGGGGGGCAAGCGUUGUUCGGAAUUACUGGGCGUAAAGGGCUCGUAGGCGGCCAACUAAGUCCGACGUGAAAUCCCCAGGCUUAACUUGGGAACUGCGUCUGAUACUGGAUGGCUUGAGUGCGGGAGAGGGAUGUGGAAUUCCAGGUGUAGCGGUGAAAUGCGUAGAUAUCUGGAGGAACACCGGUGGCGAAGGCGGCAUCCUGGACCGACACUGACGCUGAUGCGCGAAAGCCAGGGGAGCAAACGGG